UACAGAGGAUGCAAGCGUUAUCCGGAAUGAUUGGGCGUAAAGCGUCUGUAGGUGGCUUUUUAAGUCCGCCGUCAAAUCCCAGGGCUCAACUCUGGACAGGCGGUGGAAACUACCAAGCUUGAGUACGGUAGGGGCAGAGGGAAUUCCCAGUGUAGAGGUGAAAUUCGUAGAUAUUGGGAAGAACACCGGUGGCGAAGGCGGCUCACUGGCUCAUUACUGACGCUCAGGCGCGACAGCGUGGGGAUCAAACAGG
rnacentral:rRNA from 1 species